rnacentral:rRNA from 1 species
UAAUACAUGCAGUCGAGCGAUGGAUUGAGAGCUUGCUCUCAAGAAGUUAGCGGCGGACGGGUGAGUAACACGUGGGUAACCUGCCCAUAAGACUGGGAUAACUCCGGGAAACCGGGGCUAAUACCGGAUAAUAUUUUGAACUGCAUGGUUCGAAAUUGAAAGGCGGCUUCGGCUGUCACUUAUGGAUGGACCCGCGUCGCAUUAGCUAGUUGGUGAGGUAACGGCUCACCAAGGCAACGAUGCGUAGCCGACCUGAGAGGGUGAUCGGCCACACUGGGACUGAGACACGGCCCAGACUCCUACGGGAGGCAGCAGUAGGGAAUCUUCCGCAAUGGACGAAAGUCUGACGGAGCAACGCCGCGUGAGUGAUGAAGGCUUUCGGGUCGUAAAACUCUGUUGUUAGGGAAGAACAAGUGCUAGUUGAAUAAGCUGGCACCUUGACGGUACCUAACCAGAAAGCCACGGCUAACUACGUGCCAGCAGCCGCGGUAAUACGUAGGUGGCAAGCGUUAUCCGGAAUUAUUGGGCGUAAAGCGCGCGCAGGUGGUUUCUUAAGUCUGAUGUGAAAGCCCACGGCUCAACCGUGGAGGGUCAUUGGAAACUGGGAGACUUGAGUGCAGAAGAGGAAAGUGGAAUUCCAUGUGUAGCGUAAAAU